GUCUACAGCCAUACCACCCUGAACACAUCCGAUCUCAUCUGAUUUCGGAAGCUAAGCAGGGUCGGGUCUGGUUAGUAGUUGGAUAGGAGAAAUGCGAGUUAGAAUCCCAGUCCCAGUGACU
ensembl:rRNA 5S_rRNA 5S ribosomal RNA